GAGGUUAAGCGACUAAGCGUACACGGUGGAUGCCCUGGCAGUCAGAGGCGAUGAAGGACGUGCUAAUCUGCGAUAAGCGCCGGUAAGGUGAUAUGAACCGUUAUAACCGGCGAUUUCCGAAUGGGGAAACCCAGUGUGACUCGUCACACUAUCAUUAACUGAAUCCAUAGGUUAAUGAGGCGAACCGGGGGAACUGAAACAUCUAAGUACCCCGAGGAAAAGAAAUCAACCGAGAUUCCCCCAGUAGCGGCGAGCGAACGGGGAGGAGCCCAGAGCCUGAAUCAGCAUGUGUGUUAGUGGAAGCGUCUGGAAAGGCGCGCGAUACAGGGUGACAGCCCCGUACACAAAAGCGCAUGUGCUGUGAGCUCGAUGAGUAGGGCGGGACACGUGGUAUCCUGUCUGAAUAUGGGGGGACCAUCCUCCAAGGCUAAAUACUCCUGACUGACCGAUAGUGAACCAGUACCGUGAGGGAAAGGCGAAAAGAACCCCGGCGAGGGGAGUGAAAAAGAACCUGAAACCGUGUACGUACAAGCAGUGGGAGCACCCUUUGGGGUGUGACUGCGUACCUUUUGUAUAAUGGGUCAGCGACUUAUAUUCUGUAGCAAGGUUAACCGAAUAGGGGAGCCGGAGGGAAACCGAGUCUUAAUUGGGCGUUAAGUUGCAGGGUAUAGACCCGAAACCCGGUGAUCUAGCCAUGGGCAGGUUGAAGGUUGGGUAACACUAACUGGAGGACCGAACCGACUAAUGUUGAAAAAUUAGCGGAUGACCUGUGGCUGGGGGUGAAAGGCCAAUCAAACCGGGAGAUAGCUGGUUCUCCCCGAAAGCUAUUUAGGUAGCGCCUCGUGAAUUCAUCUCCGGGGGUAGAGCACUGUUUCGGCUAGGGGGCCAUCCCGGCUUACCAACCCGAUGCAAACUGCGAAUACCGGAGAAUGUUAUCACGGGAGACACACGGCGGGUGCUAACGUCCGUCGUGAAGAGGGAAACAACCCAGACCGCCAGCUAAGGUCCCAAAGUCAUGGUUAAGUGGGAAACGAUGUGGGAAGGCCCAGACAGCCAGGAUGUUGGCUUAGAAGCAGCCAUCAUUUAAAGAAAGCGUAAUAGCUCACUGGUCGAGUCGGCCUGCGCGGAAGAUGUAACGGGGCUAAACCAUGCACCGAAGCUGCGGCAGCGACGCUGAUGCGUUGUUGGGUAGGGGAGCGUUCUGUAAGCCUGUGAAGGUGGCCUGUGAGGGUUGCUGGAGGUAUCAGAAGUGCGAAUGCUGACAUAAGUAACGAUAAAGCGGGUGAAAAGCCCGCUCGCCGGAAGACCAAGGGUUCCUGUCCAACGUUAAUCGGGGCAGGGUGAGUCGACCCCUAAGGCGAGGCCGAAAGGCGUAGUCGAUGGGAAACGGGUUAAUAUUCCCGUACUUGGUGUUACUGCGAAGGGGGGACGGAGAAGGCUAUGUUGGCCGGGCGACGGUUGUCCCGGUUUAAGCGUGUAGGUGUGUGUUCCAGGUAAAUCCGGUUCACUUUAACACUGAGGCGUGAUGACGAGGCACUACGGUGCUGAAGCAACAAAUGCCCUGCUUCCAGGAAAAGCCUCUAAGCAUCAGGUAACAUCAAAUCGUACCCCAAACCGACACAGGUGGUCAGGUAGAGAAUACCAAGGCGCUUGAGAGAACUCGGGUGAAGGAACUAGGCAAAAUGGUGCCGUAACU
rnacentral:rRNA from 1 species